AACCCAGUUGUUACUACCGACCUUUAUAACGCCACCAACUAAGCGUUAGAUCUACCCGCAAUAUUUAUGGCUUUGACGUAGCAUAAACAAAUAUCAAGUUUAAUUGUAGUACUUACAAAGGGUACUUCAACAAAUCGCAUUGUUAUUUGACACAGUGUUGAUUGUGGUUUUAAGUCCAGACGUGUUUUAAAAUAACCUAAGUGAUUUCUUUGAAACAUGCCCUCGAAUAGGUAAUUUUUUUUUUAUUGAAUUUGUUGAUAGUGUAGCCUUAUCAUGAUGUUUUACAGAGGACUGAUACGAUUGUAUAAUUUUAAUAAAAAAUAGUUUAUAUUAUCGCUUUCUUUGCGGGUUUUUUUUUUCAAUUAAAAAAUUGUGGCGUUAUAACGCCCGGUAGUAAAAUUGACGUCUAUUUAUUAUGACUACUUUGUUUAUAGGCCACUGAAGAAAAAGGCUUUAAGCCUUAACGAAAUAAUUGACAACCUACACCAUUUAGAUUCUGAUGAUGAUUUGCCAAAUGAAAUCACUAUUUUUCCACCGGAAAAUCCGAAUACUGAAGUAACUGAUGAAGAUUAGGGUGAUGAAGAAUUUCUGUCAUUACAUAAUCUUCCAGGAUCUCAGCUAAGGGCUCCCGCGGAGGCUAUAUAUAGCUCAUAUUCGGAAAAUGAGGAUUCGGAAGACGAUUUAUCUUUGUCGACUUUAGCCAAAAAAAUGCGUACUACUACCGAAAAUUCACAUGAAAAUGAGAACGAGCCUUCAGUUUCUAAUCCUAGAAUUAGUUCUACGCGUUUACCUAGUGUACUAAAAUCUCAACAGUACAAGUGGGUCAACCAGGAUAACCCGAGGGAACGUAGACAGUGGCAAGACCGGGAAGAGCCGAAAAAUCGUCAAUCUCCUAUGUAUUACUAUGAGUGUAUGAUGAAUGAUGAGAUAAUUGAGCUGUUGGUAUAUUAUACAAAUUUGUACGCGAGCCAGAAAAAUGCCGUCGGUAAUGUAACUAUUUCAGAAAUGAAGUGUUUUUUGGGAAUACUUUUAUACAGUGGUUACGUUUCGGUACCACGUCGAUAUAUGUUUUGGGAGAAAUCUUCUGAUACUCACUUUGACAUUGUGUAUAAUGACCCGAAGACGUGUUUUGUGGCCUAUCAUACUAGUGUUUAAUUUAUAGGCAAUUAUACAAAUGUUUAACAAUG